AGCAAUUAGCAUCAUAAAAAUUUGAUCUUUCCAUCACCCUCAGUGUCCCAUUUACACAUUUUCUAUUGCUCUUUCUUUCCCAACUUUGUGUUAUGAAAUCAUAAAUGACCAACCAAUAAACACACAACAAAAAUGUCAAAAGUUUUUGCCUCCAACACUACUAGUCUUCCGCCAUGGAAUCCCUCUGAACCACCACCAAUCCCCUCUCAUUCCCAAUUCCACUUGAAACCCAUCACUCGUCGUCACCUUCUCACCUCUCUCUCCAUCCUAAUUGCUCCAUUUUUAUCUUCUCCGAACCUCAAUGAUACACUUAGUCCCUUUUCUUUACCAGUAUCAAAUGCUCGUGGCCUCUUUCAAAUGCCACCUUUUCGCCUCGCUAACCGGUACUUUUUGGUGAGAGCAGGGGAAUCAGAAUAUGAGAGUCUAGGGGUGAUUAAUACUAAUCCAGUUACAAAAACAUCAGUGGAUAAUGGUCUGUCUGAGAAAGGGAAGAAACAGACUGUGAGGGCGGCGUUUGAUUUGAAGGAAAUGGGUGCUUGUGAAGGGAAUUGCUGGAUUUGGCCUUCCAUUACUCAGAGAGCUUAUCAGGCUGCUGAGAUUAUCGCUGCCGUUAAUGGUGUUAAUCGAAGCCAUAUAGUCCCUGAAUAUAGCUUUUUGGAUGCUCGUGGAUUGGGAGCAUAUGAAGGGAAAAGUUUGGAUACUUUAUCUGAAGUUUAUGAAUCAGAUAGCCUUUCUCCGAACAUAAAGCCGCCCCCUAUUGAUGAUGGAACACCUAAUGAGAGUGUUUCGGAUGUCUUUGUUCGUGUUACACAACUUAUGUCGAUUCUUGAAACUCAAUACUCAGAGGACACAGUCAUCAUAGUCUCGCCAGAUUCUGACAACUUGACAGUUCUGCAAGCUGGUUUAACAGGCCUCGAUCUUCGGAGGCACAGGGAUCUUUCUUUUGGGCCCGGUGAAGUUAGAUUUGUUGACGCUAGCAGCAUACCUACCUAUAAGCAACCUGCAUCCACAGUCUAUAAAUGCUUAAACCCCCCUAGCUGUACAUGACACUAUACUCCUAAGCUUGGAUUUCACCAACAAGAGUGCAGUUGAAAAGUUCCUCACAGAGCUGCUGCUAUAGUAGAAUUUUCCAAUGAAACGUUUAUUAAGUGCUUCAUGUAAACCAGGAUCAUUUCUUAUACAUUGUUGGUGAAGAUGGGCUCAGGCAGCUGUAUAGCUUUUCUUCAUUCUCAAAGUAUGCAGAGGAUUCGGUCAGCACAUCUAAUCCAUCGCCUGUUUCCUGAAUAUCAGUUCUGUCACAAAUUCCAAUCCUUUGCUGUUUAUGUAUAAUCAAGAAAAGGAAAAAAUAAGACAGAAGUGUUUACCUUAUUGGAAAUUAACUAAACUCUUUUAUCUAUUGUCACUCACGCUUGUUGGAAACUACAUAUGUUGGGAAAAAUGCCACUUGACCUUCUGUUUCAAGUUAUGAGAGAUGUAUCUGUAGCUCCUAUCAGAGGAUUGCUUUUUAGUAAUUUAAGAGUCACACAGAUGAAAAGGAAGGAUUAGAAAGUAGUUUAAUUCCUUUCUACUAUGCUUUUCAGAUCAAGAAAGUCAAAAUAUUUGUAAUGUUAUCUAGUUUUUAUGAUUCAUGUUCUAUGAUAAAACCAAAUUUUAUAAUACGAGCUUUUGUGACAGCAAAAGUUAUUCAGUCUCAA